GGCCGCCUGGCGAAAUGGCAUCGCGUCUGACUACGAUCAUGGACAUGAUAAGGGAUCACUUCGAACGUUAUCAGGAGAUUGCAGGUUCGACCCCUGCGGUGGUCA